rnacentral:rRNA from 1 species
AUGCUGCUGGAGAUUUUUGGAUCUGGAUUGAGACUAACACGGAUUAAUGACCGGGUUCUUAGAUUGCUCUUUGGUGACCGAUCUGCUUAUGCAUCCUUUGUCAUGGCAAGCAACAUUGCAGUAAAAGGAGGGAAUAAUUGGGGCAGGCCAAAUUGGCUCUGCGCCCUCCCUUGUGCCAGUAAUUAUUUCUGCACCUCCAUCUAUGCCACCAAAGGCAAACAAUUUGCCAUCACCAAGGGGAUGGAUAGAUCAGAGAUGAAGGGGCGAACGAAGCAAGUCUUUGUUAGCCAUGCCUCUUAUCCUGUAUCUGAAGCCAACAUCCUUAAGAAAACCACCCAUCGGGAUGGUUCUAUAUACAAGAUAAACUAUGGUUUUCUAAAGCUAUGGCAUCUUACUCAACGUGAUGAGACACAACUAGAGCCGAUGAUGUUCUCGAAUCCUACGAAUUGUUUCCCGGAUAGGGAUAGAUGCAUGGUACAUGAUGCAACUGGUAUGAUGCAGAUUUUCUCACUGAAAUUGGAAAAAGCUAGUACCAACAUCGGCUUGGUACAACUAUAUGGAUAUAUAGCAGUGCGUGAUUGUCAUGAUUCAUUGCUUAACUAUGUCUUCAAUCGUAGCAGAGAUGAUCCCAUCAUUGUGGAACAGGGUUCUCUUAUUGAGAUGACCGGCCCUAAGCGAGGCAUCACAAUGGUAGCCCCUGUUCUAGUUGAGUUUGACAUGAGGAUUAAGAAAGGAAAGCAAGAAGAUGAUCUACAACUAAUUGAUGGUGCAAUGGAGUACCACGAUCUAGUCACACCUGAGUACCCAUUCACGCAUCGGAUUAAUGGCGAUUGUGGUGCGGUUGACAUCACUUUAGCCCUCGUUCGUUGGGCAUUUGAGGCCACAAUAGAUGUUGUCAUAUCAAAAGUGCAGUGUGGAUUUGAUUUAUCUCUCAGUUCGUGUAUUCCCCUUAUGGAUGGUUUACAUGAGAUCCAACUCUUUCGUGGCAGUAUUGGUGAGUCAUGUGGCUUGAGAAGACAUGUGAUUGCUGUAAAGGAGGAUACUUUGAUGCAUUUGAAGUUCAAAGUAGGACAGAAUAGUUGUAAAAAUGAUCUUGAUCACCAUUUUUCCUUCAAAGCGAAAAAACAUGGGUACGACUAUCAGCAAAUCAUGCUUGAGCUUGCCUCUAUCUCAGUGAAGGUGACUUGGUCGAACUUGCAAAAAUAA